AGUGCGCACUUCGUAAUCGCCAUUUUUUUGUGGAAGCGAAGCAAUUCGGAGAUAUUCCGAAAUAUACUCAUUUUCAUACGUUUCUUCUAUUCUACUACUGAUAGAAGCAUUUCCAUUUGCGAUCAAUCGUAAACGAACAUUUUACAACAGCCAUGAUUCGAUGCUAAUAUUUGGCGAUACAAACUAGGGAAAGGAAGAACCAAUAACGAUUCACCAUCGGUCCGUGCAAACGGUAUCAAAUGAGCGUAUCUUUUCGUCGACCAACGGCAGCGACCAGCGAAUCAACAAGUGCAGCUGAUUCCAGCACGAAUAGCUCUUCUGUUUCUUCACUGGAGCAUCGAAAAUCCCUAUCAGGCUCAGGUGCAGGCAAGAAUCAAUGAAGGAGGAGCAAGCUACGCUACCGCAAGUAUAGUCAUUUGCUCAUAAAAUUUACAAGAUGGCUAGUGAUGAAAAAGUUGGGAGUCGAUAUCCGGAUAUCUGUUCCAACUACUAGCGGUUGUCAUCAAGGAAAACUCAGUUUGCUAACUCAAAUCAUUUUAAUUGGCUCAUCCCCCAUCUUGGAACGCAAGCAUCUAGUAAGGACUCCGGAUCGAUUUGUAAAUAUCUCGCCUCUCGAGAACCAUAAUCGUGCUCCGAUUAUUUUGUAUGUGUUGUGUUCACUGUGCGUUGGUAAUGGUCGGUAUGGUUGGUUGGUCGGUAAUCCUAAUAUCCUCGUUCAUCGUGUUGAGGAAUCUGGGGUGUACCAGAAGUGUUACUUUGAAAUUACUAUGGACCAUAACGGACAAACGUGCACAAACAUGACACCGCGUUUGCGAAUUAAUUGGGCCAAUACUGCUGAAUAUGUUGAGGAUGUAAAAAUGGGGCGAAAAUGACGUUGGUAAUAAUUUGCAUACUCAUGAUUCCGGACGUGACAAAACUAUUCAUCGCAAAAGGAAUGGAAUUGCACGCUAGAUCUCAGCGUCGGUGAUACGGUUUAUGUUCAAUGGAGAGCCAAUGCAUGUUUGAUUUUAAUCUAACUUGAAUGUUUUUUUUCCGGUGAUGAGCUGCUCGUCGAAGCUAAGUUGUCAAUUUUAUUUUGGUUUCCGCGUUUCUGUCUGCGAUAUUGAACCCUAAGAUGGAAGAAUUCGGCGAUCUGCUGGUCGAGAGCACUCACAACUUGUGAGACAAAGAGCGAAUUCAACAAAGUUAAACAAAGCCAACGAAAACCAUCGUAGCUCCCAUUCAGUUCCGUACAGCAUAUACGGCUAUGGCGACUAUCAGAAAGCUGUUGAUCUAUGGAUACAAUUCGGACCAACAAACUGGUGAGACGAAUGAGCCCCUUGCGGAGGAAGCAUUCAGACAGAACUUCGCAACCAUCAGAACGCACCUAGCGGAGUAGACGUAUGCUGUUAUGUCAAGACAGACAUACUUUUAGUUUGAGGUACGGACUGUGGGACUGAUGAGGGACUGCAAUUCCGAAACGAUGUUGGGGAAUGAUGAUCCAUCGUGUGCUUUUGAUGGCUACAAUAUAAGCAUGAGCACAAAUAUCGAAUCCGAUUGUUCAAUACGACCAAUCACGACCCCUCAAUCCAAUGUAGUUGUUCUGUUACAAGAAAACAAGCCCCAAAUUCCUACUGAAAACACAUUUCCACUGCCUCACCAAGAGCAAACCACAUAGAUGGUUGCCGAAAAAUUUCAAAUGUAAGUUUAUAUGAACCCCCUUCUUCGAACUCUGGGGCAUUCCAGAGCGUCACAAUUAAAUGGGCAAGUAAACUACACCUGCGCAGGGUCGAAGAUUUCGGUAGGCGAUACCUGGUCGGAGACGUAAUCGUUUUCUUCUUAAAUAUCCACGACAAGAUCAGCACGAGAGGAAUAAAUACGAACUAAGAGUACUGGGUACUGGUGUCAUCAACUUCCUGCUAAUCAGCGCCCCAUUCUCUAGAGACAGCGAUGCAGUAGAAGGAGUUAUUGCGACGAGAAUUAUUGUUGUUUUCAUAUUUUUCAUUUUUUUUAUUGUAGAACUAUUGAAAUUGUAUAUAGAAUAAGUUAUUAGUGAAAUAUUAUAUUAAAAUAACAUGUUAUCAAA